UACGUAGGGGGCAAGCGUUAUCCGGAUUUGCUGGGUGUAAAGGGAGCGUAGGCGGUUCAGCAAGUCAGAAGUGAAAGCCCGGGGCUCAACUCCGGGACUGCUUUUGAAACUGUUGAACUAGAUUGCAGGAGAGGUAAGUGGAAUUCCUAGUGUAGCGGUGAAAUGCGUGGAUAUUAGGAGGAACACCAGUGGCGAAGGCGGCUUACUGGACUGUAAAUGACGCUGAGGCUCGAAAGCGUGGGGAGCAAACAGG
rnacentral:rRNA from 1 species